rnacentral:RNase_P_RNA from 1 species
GGUCGCGGCUUCUAUAGCUGAGGAAAGUCGGAGCUUACUAAGGUAUAAGUGCUAGCGAAAUGCUAGGAUGGGAAACCAUAUGGAAAGUGUUACAGAAAAGAACCGCAAUUAAUUUAUUAAUUGUAAGGGUGAAAAGGUGAGGUAAGAGCUUACCGCAAAAAUAGCAAUAUUUUUGGCAUAAACAAACCCCACUUAAAGCAAGUUCAAAUAUAGUAUAUGGUAUUUAUCCUACUUUUAUAGGGUAAAUCUAAGUUAACCUUAACGAAGUAUACAGGGUAGAACGCUAGACUUUUUAGGAAACUAAACAAGCUAGAUAGAUGACU